rnacentral:rRNA from 1 species
UACGGAGGUGGCAAGCGUUCUUCUGCUUCAUGGGGCGUAAAGGGCGAGUAGGCGGCCUGGCAAGUCAGAGGUGAAAGCCCUCGGCUCAACCGAGGAACUGCCUCUGAAACUGGCUAGCUCGAGGCCGGGAGAGGGUGGCGGAAUUCCUGGUGUAGCGGUGAAAUGCGUAGAUAUCAGGAGGAACACCCGUGGCGUAGGCGGCCCCCCGGACCCGUUCUGACGCUGAGGCGAGAAAGCGUGGGGAGCAAUCAGG